UCUUCAUUCCCAGCUAUUCUCUCUCGCCCGCCACGCUCCACAGACAUGGACAUCGCCGCCCACUCCAUCGCCUAAUCAUCCUAUCGUCGUGCUCCGUCGCGCCCUGUAGGUGCUUCUCAUCCGCCGCGUCCUGCAGGUGCACUGCUCGUAGUUGCCGAUCCGAUUUGCCGCCAUUGAUUCGUCGCCUCCUUUGUUUUAGGGUUCCUGUUCUUCGACCGAACGGGCUUCAAAUCAAGUUUCCAGAGGUGAUUGUUCCUUUGUUUUAGGGUUCUUGUUCUUCGACUGAACACGCUUCAAAUCAAGCAAUCUUGUCCUUUCUUGGUGAUACCGGUACGCGCAAGAAUUAUCAUCUACCCACCAUCUAUCCAAGGAGAAAACAAAGAGGAAGUAGAAGUUGAAGAGACAAGGACUUCAUCACCACCACCACCUGAGGAACAUCAGGCAGGCAACUGUUUCUAUUUUGAUAUCUGCGGGACCGAGCCUGAUUCACCAGUAAAACAAG